UACGUAGGUGGCAAGCGAUACUCGGAAUCACUAGGCGUAAAGCGCAGGUAGGCGGUUUGGUAAGUCUUUUGUGAAAGCUCCCGGCUUAACUGGGAGAGGUCAAGGGAAACUACCGGACUAGAGUGUGGUAGGGGAUACUGGAAUUCCUGGUGUAGCGGUGAAAUGCGUAGAUAUCAGGAGGAAUACCUAUGGCGAAAGCAGGUAUCUGGGCCAUCACUGACGCUGGAGCCGCGAAAGCCUAGGGGGAGCAAACAGG
rnacentral:rRNA from 1 species